AGGUGAGCUGUGAUUGACAGCUACUGUCACCUAUCAGGAAGGGGCAGUCCCUUUUUAAGCACUGAUUGGCUGCUGCUCGGAAUGCGUCAUGUCCUCUGUUUUCCCCGGGUGUUUGCAGCAAUAGCGACAGGUGAGAAUUGUUAAUGUGCUGUUCGUAGUUUUAAUCUGUAUGUUAUUUAAAACUUAGUUUGUGUUGGUUUUAGCGUGUUUGUCCAGCGUACUGGUGCCCUGGUGCUGUUGGUGGCUUAAAUGACUGUGCACCCUCAGUUGGCUGUGGUUGACCUGUUGUAGGUUAACCAGUGCUGUAAAAGACGUUAAUGUGUCUGGGGUGAUGCCACUGUGCGGGUUCUCCCUUUUGUUCUACGUGGUUUCCUCUGGUUGCUGCCUGUUUGAGUCUCGUGCUGUUUUAUCGCACCGCUGUAACAUUACAUUAUUGUCACCGCUGUAAACCGGACUGUCCACUGUCUGGUUCCUGAACUUGAGUGUGUAUUAUCUUGAAGUGGAGGAUUAGCGCAUCGGAGCCGGCGUAUGGACUUUGGUGUUUGCGCCAUGACUUUCGUGUAGCUUCAGCUGCCAGUUUUCUUUGUUUGUUUGUUUUUGUUUCUAUUGUAAAAUUUGUAUAUUAUUGUUUUGAAUAUUUAUUUUGCUUAAUAUCCUUUCAGGAGCUGGGGUCCCCACGGGUGAGGGAUCUUGUGGUGGUGGUGGUACCGCUCAACGGUUCCCGUGUUACACAUUUGAAGUGUAUAAGUGUGUGUACAUUGAGUUCACGGUGUGGUGUGCGAAAGUGUGCUUUUGGACAACUUGUGCCAGUGAUCCCUCGAGUGGGUAACCUCAGCUCUGUAGGUUUGUGUAUUGUUUUAAUUAGUUUAUUAUUUGUCCUCCUUUCCACGCACUGCAUUGUAGCAGUGAGGACCAUUAACCCUUCAAUUGUUUUGUAUUUUUGUGUAACCUUGUGAUUGUGAUGUUUUAUGUCAUUUGUUUUAUGUAUUUACUGCAGUGAGACAGAUUUGUUUUGAAUAAUGUUGUCUUCUGUUUAUUUUACAUCUAGCUCAUUGACAUGAACACAGAAUAUUGUGUAAUAAAAAUUAUAUUUUUUGUACUAUACCCACGUUUUCUGCUCCCUUCACUUUUAAGAGGAACGAACCUGUGUGCCUUACCGCCCUUCUGGGUGUAAGGAAUAUUUCCCUGGGUGUAAGUCCCGGGGUGGCGUAGUCGAAAUUUUAUGCAAAGUCUUUCUUUCGUCACGAAGCUAAACUCUCACCCCCUCGUCAUGCCACAUUUGGCGUAGUGUCGGCAGGAUCCUCAAAUUUGGAGUGAAGAGACGUGGGUAUUGUUUUUAUGUAUGUGGGAUUUUGUUUGUCUUGUAGGAACCAGACAGCGGCAGUUUUCGCGUCGGAAUCCCAGCACAAUUUGUGGCUGGACUUGCGCGGUUCAAUCGGUUGCGGUAAGUGGUUCAUGGGUCUAGGAAUAGAGGACGAAUCGCACAGGUUAAGCAAUUUUAGAGGCUCCGUAGAGGUAAAAUGUGUUAUUGGGUUAAGAACAAAAGGGAGAAUCUGAAUGUAUUGUUAAGUGGAGGGCCAGCUAGGUUUUUGGGCAAGGCUGUGAAAGUGGGGAUGUCGGGCAUGGCGUAUCAUUAAAGGCACCACUAAAACUGGUUGUCGUCAUCCGUUCUGUAUGAUCUGUACACUUCUAUAGUGCCUGAAGUUGGGGUAUUACUGAUGUAGUAUUUGCCUGUAACUUUGAUUUUAUGGUGGGGUUAGGAGGUACUAUCGGUCCCAUGUCAUUAGUUAUUGGAUGGUGUCCCUCUGAGUCUGAGGUGGAACCAUCCAGUAAGGUUUAUUGGUAGGAGAUGUACCCCCCAGGUGAGUCAUUUUCAGAUGGGGUCCCUCAGAGUUUGGGGUGAAACUAUCUGAUGAAUUUUAUAGUGCAGGAGCUGUAUCCCCCAGGUCAGUCAUUUUUCAGAUGGUGUCCCUCAGAGUUUGGGGUGAAACCAUCUGAGAUUUUUAUUUUAUCGGGAAGCUCUUGUUUUAGUUAUUUGUCAUUGGAGAUUACGUCAGGUUAGUUCUCCAAUUGAUACCACUUCUUGUAAUUGGCGGGCACAGCGGAUGUGUCUGCAGAGUGGAUUGUAGAUUUGUGCCUUUUCCCGACCUUGGGGCUGAGCACCCUGAGGUGGGUUUUGUUUAGUUCACCGUCGGGGCGACGUUGCAGAAACUUGGGGUGGAUUGUAGCAGGAUUAGGUGAGCUGUGAUUGACAGCUACUGUCACCUAUCAGGAAGGGGCAGUCCCUUUUUAAGCACUGAUUGGCUGCUGCUCGGAAUGCGUCAUGUCCUCUGUUUUCCCCGGGUGUUUGCAGCAAUAGCGACAGCGUGUUUGUCCAGCGUACUGGUGCCCUGGUGCUGUUGGUGGCUUAAAUGACUGUGCACCCUCAGUUGGCUGUGGUUGACCUGUUGUAGGUUAACCAGUGCUGUAAAAGACGUUAAUGUGUCUGGGGUGAUGCCACUGUGCGGUAAGUGUCCAACCGCAAAUUGUAAUGUUAGUGUAUGAUGUUUAGAUUUUUAAUAUUAUGUUUGUUUACUUUAGGGUUCUCCCUUUUGUUCUACGUGGUUUCCUCUGGCUGCUGCCUGUUUGAGUCUCGUGCUGUUUUAUCGCACCGUUGUAACAUUACAUUAUUGUCACCGCUGUAAACCGGACUGUCCACUGUCUGGUUCCUGAACUUGAGUGUGUAUUAUCUUGAAGUGGAGGAUUAGCGCAUCGGAGCCGGCGUAUGGACUUUGGUGUUUGCGCCAUGACUUUCGUGUAGCUUCAGCUGCCAGUUUUCUUUGUUUGUUUGUUUUUGUUUCUAUUGUAAAAUUUGUAUAUUAUUGUUUUGAAUAUUUAUUUUGCUUAAUAUCCUUUCAGGAGCUGGGGUCCCCACGGGUGAGGGAUCUUGUGGUGGUGGUGGUACCGCUCAACGGUUCCCGUGUUACACAUUUGAAGUGUAUAAGUGUGUGUACAUUGAGUUCACGGUGUGGUGUGCGAAAGUGUGCUUUUGGACAACUUGUGCCAGUGAUCCCUCGAGUGGGUAACCUCAGCUCUGUAGGUUUGUGUAUUGUUUUAAUUAGUUUAUUAUUUGUCCUCCUUUCCACGCACUGCAUUGUAGCAGUGAGGACCAUUAACCCUUCAAUUGUUUUGUAUUUUUGUGUAACCUUGUGAUUGUGAUGUUUUAUGUCAUUUGUUUUAUGUAUUUACUGCAGUGAGACAGAUUUGUUUUGAAUAAUGUUGUCUUCUGUUUAUUUUACAUCUAGCUCAUUGACAUGAACACAGAAUAUUGUGUAAUAAAAAUUAUAUUUUUUGUACUAUACCCACGUUUUCUGCUCCCUUCACUUUUAAGAGGAACGAACCUGUGUGCCUUACCGCCCUUCUGGGUGUAAGGAAUAUUUCCCUGGGUGUAAGUCCCGGGGUGGCGUAGUCGAAAUUUUAUGCAAAGUCUUUCUUUCGUCACGAAGCUAAACUCUCACCCCCUCGUCAUGCCACAUUUGGCGUAGUGUCGGCAGGAUCCUCAAAUUUGGAGUGAAGAGACGUGGGUAUUGUUUUUAUGUAUGUGGGAUUUUGUUUGUCUUGUAGGAACCAGACAGCGGCAGUUUUCGCGUCGGAAUCCCAGCACAAUUUGUGGCUGGACUUGCGCGGUUCAAUCGGUUGCGGUAAGUGGUUCAUGGGUCUAGGAAUAGAGGACGAAUCGCACAGGUUAAGCAAUUUUAGAGGCUCCGUAGAGGUAAAAUGUGUUAUUGGGUUAAGAACAAAAGGGAGAAUCUGAAUGUAUUGUUAAGUGGAGGGCCAGCUAGGUUUUUGGGCAAGGCUGUGAAAGUGGGGAUGUCGGGCAUGGCGUAUCAUUAAAGGCACCACUAAAACUGGUUGUCGUCAUCCGUUCUGUAUGAUCUGUACACUUCUAUAGUGCCUGAAGUUGGGGUAUUACUGAUGUAGUAUUUGCCUGUAACUUUGAUUUUAUGGUGGGGUUAGGAGGUACUAUCGGUCCCAUGUCAUUAGUUAUUGGAUGGUGUCCCUCUGAGUCUGAGGUGGAACCAUCCAGUAAGGUUUAUUGGUAGGAGAUGUACCCCCCAGGUGAGUCAUUUUCAGAUGGGGUCCCUCAGAGUUUGGGGUGAAACUAUCUGAUGAAUUUUAUAGUGCAGGAGCUGUAUCCCCCAGGUCAGUCAUUUUUCAGAUGGUGUCCCUCAGAGUUUGGGGUGAAACCAUCUGAGAUUUUUAUUUUAUCGGGAAGCUCUUGUUUUAGUUAUUUGUCAUUGGAGAUUACGUCAGGUUAGUUCUCCAAUUGAUACCACUUCUUGUAAUUGGCGGGCACAGCGGAUGUGUCUGCAGAGUGGAUUGUAGAUUUGUGCCUUUUCCCGACCUUGGGGCUGAGCACCCUGAGGUGGGUUUUGUUUAGUUCACCGUCGGGGCGACGUUGCAGAAACUUGGGGUGGAUUGUAGCAGGAUUAGGUGAGCUGUGAUUGACAGCUACUGUCACCUAUCAGGAAGGGGCAGUCCCUUUUUAAGCACUGAUUGGCUGCUGCUCGGAAUGCGUCAUGUCCUCUGUUUUCCCCGGGUGUUUGCAGCAAUAGCGACAGGUGAGAAUUGUUAAUGUGCUGUUCGUAGUUUUAAUCUGUAUGUUAUUUAAAACUUAGUUUGUGUUGGUUUUAGCGUGUUUGUCCAGCGUACUGGUGCCCUGGUGCUGUUGGUGGCUUAAAUGACUGUGCACCCUCAGUUGGCUGUGGUUGACCUGUUGUAGGUUAACCAGUGCUGUAAAAGACGUUAAUGUGUCUGGGGUGAUGCCACUGUGCGGGUUCUCCCUUUUGUUCUACGUGGUUUCCUCUGGUUGCUGCCUGUUUGAGUCUCGUGCUGUUUUAUCGCACCGCUGUAACAUUACAUUAUUGUCACCGCUGUAAACCGGACUGUCCACUGUCUGGUUCCUGAACUUGAGUGUGUAUUAUCUUGAAGUGGAGGAUUAGCGCAUCGGAGCCGGCGUAUGGACUUUGGUGUUUGCGCCAUGACUUUCGUGUAGCUUCAGCUGCCAGUUUUCUUUGUUUGUUUGUUUUUGUUUCUAUUGUAAAAUUUGUAUAUUAUUGUUUUGAAUAUUUAUUUUGCUUAAUAUCCUUUCAGGAGCUGGGGUCCCCACGGGUGAGGGAUCUUGUGGUGGUGGUGGUACCGCUCAACGGUUCCCGUGUUACACAUUUGAAGUGUAUAAGUGUGUGUACAUUGAGUUCACGGUGUGGUGUGCGAAAGUGUGCUUUUGGACAACUUGUGCCAGUGAUCCCUCGAGUGGGUAACCUCAGCUCUGUAGGUUUGUGUAUUGUUUUAAUUAGUUUAUUAUUUGUCCUCCUUUCCACGCACUGCAUUGUAGCAGUGAGGACCAUUAACCCUUCAAUUGUUUUGUAUUUUUGUGUAACCUUGUGAUUGUGAUGUUUUAUGUCAUUUGUUUUAUGUAUUUACUGCAGUGAGACAGAUUUGUUUUGAAUAAUGUUGUCUUCUGUUUAUUUUACAUCUAGCUCAUUGACAUGAACACAGAAUAUUGUGUAAUAAAAAUUAUAUUUUUUGUACUAUA